rnacentral:lncRNA from 1 species
CGCGGGCGUUUGACUCGGAAGAAACCAAGAGGGUCAGGCGGUCGGCGCCUCACGGACGCGUGCGCGAGUCGGAGUCUCGGUUUCACCGGCUUGAAUCUGAGACGUCCGUGGUCUGUGGUGUCAGAUCGGACGGAUGGGAAGCAUUGGUUGUGAAUCACGGGAUUUUGCUAAGCGUGCAUCUGCUAUAAAUUACUCCUAAGCUAGUUCAUUUUUUAUGAUCUCGAGCUAAAAAACAGAGAGAAAGAGAGAGAGAGAGCGCAAAAGGAUAGAGAGAAAGAAAAAAAAAUGAAGAUUAUCAAACAUUUCCCGGU